AGAGCGAACGCUGGCGGCAGGCCUAACACAUGCAAGUCGAGCGCCCGUAGCAAUACGGGAGCGGCAGACGGGAUAGUAACACGUGGGAACGCGCCCUUCGGUUCGGAAUAACUCAGGGAAACUUGAGCUAAUACCGGAUACGCCCUUACGGGGAAAGAUUUAUUGCCGAAGGAACGGCCCGCGUCCGAUUAGCUAGUUGGUGAGGUAAUGGCUCACCAAGGCGACGAUCGGUAGCUGGUCUGAGAGGAUGACCAGCAUCACUGGGACUGAGACACGGCCCAGACUCCUACGGGAGGCAGCAGUGAGGAAUUUCGGCAAUGGGGGCAACCCUGACCGAGCAACGCCGCGUGCAGGAGGAAGGUCUUCGGAUCGUAAACUGCUUUUCUGUGGGAAGAGAACGGACGGUACCACAGGAAGAAGCCCCGGCUAACUACGUGCCAGCAGCCGC
rnacentral:rRNA from 1 species